CACUCAGAAUCAUAACAAAACACAAAAAGAUUAAAUUUUAAUCAUUUUUAUGAUUCUUUUGAUUUACACAAGGCUCAGUUUAAGAAUCGAUCGUGCUCAAACCGAAAAAAGUGCAACGGUCUUUUUUUGCGGGAUCGUUCCCAUUUUCAUAUUCAUUUUACGGAGAAAUUAUCGGGCGUCAACGGAAGCAAUUAU